GUAGUCCACGCCGUAAACGUUGGGCGCUAGGUGUGGGGAACAUUCCACGUUCUCCGUGCCGCAGCUAACGCAUUAAGCGCCCCGCCUGGGGAGUACGGCCGCAAGGCUAAAACUCAAAGGAAUUGACGGGGGCCCGCACAAGCGGCGGAGCAUGCGGCUUAAUUCGACGCAACGCGAAGAACCUUACCAAGGCUUGACAUAUAGGGAAAUCUCACAGAGAUGUGAGGUCCGCAAGGGCCCUAUACAGGUGGUGCAUGGUUGUCGUCAGCUCGUGUCGUGAGAUGUUGGGUUAAGUCCCGCAACGAGCGCAACCCUCGUUCAAUGUUGCCAGCACGUAAUGGUGGGGACUCAUUGGAGACUGCCGGGGUCAACUCGGA
rnacentral:rRNA from 1 species